GACGAACCGUACGAACGUUAUUCGGAAUCACUGGGCGUAAAGGGCGCGUAGGUGGCGCGACAAGUCAGUGGUGAAAGUUCGACGCUUAACGUCGAAUCGGCCACUGAUACUGUUGGGCUUGAGCACUGUAGAGGCUAAUGGAAUUCCGGGUGUAGCGGUGGAAUGCGUAGAGAUCCGGAAGAACACCGGUGGCGAAGGCGGUUAGCUGGGCAGUUGCUGACACUGAGGCGCGACAGCGUGGGGAGCAAACAGG
rnacentral:rRNA from 1 species